GCGCUAGCUUUGGCGGCACAUAAACUAAGGCUGGAACAAUGCAGAGAAGAUUAGCAUGGCCCCCAAGCAAGGAUGACAGGCAAAUCUGUGAAGCAUUCCCUUAAAAA